ensembl:lncRNA
CACACACACACACACACACACACACACACCAUUCUUCUCUGGAGAAGAAAGUGUGAGAGGAAAAGGGCCCCAUGUGACAGUCAUUAAGCAGUCAUGCUGCUUAAUGGCAGAAGGAGAGAUGCAAAAAUAACGAAUGCCAUAGAAAAUCCAAUGUACUGGAGCCGGAUGCGGGGGAACGGACCCAGCAGAUAUCUGCCAAGGGUUUAAACUAUUCCAAGCUGCAUUAGUUUCUCCCAUCUCUGGAAGGGAUAAGAUGAGGGGAACAGACAAGCACACACAUAUGUGCGUGCACAGGAGGGGGCUAACAGCACUCUGCCUAAUGAGGGAGAAGAAGCAACAGGGAGAAUGUACCAAAGUGGUAUAUUAUCUCUUUUCACAAUAUACAGUUGGGAAUCUUUGGAGCAUGGUAGCUCUAAGCCAACCCCCAAUGGUGUUUGGAGUCUCUGUCCAACAAAAAGUCGUUAAGUCGUGUCCGACUGUUCAUGACACCAUGGACCAGAGCACGCCAGGCCCUCCUGUCUUCCACUGUCUCCCAGAGUUUGGUCAAAUUCAUGUUGGUAGCUUCAGUGACCCUGUCUAACCAUCUCUGUCGUCCCCUUCUCCUCUUGCCUUCACACUUUCCCAACAUCAGGGUCUUUUCCAGGGAGCAUUUUUCUUCUGGUUGUCCAUGGUACCUAUAAAGCUCUCCUGUAACAACACAUUCCUGUAUUCUAUCAUCUUACUUCACUGUCCAGCUCUCGUACCCAUACAUAGCAAUUAGAUAUGCCAUAGUAUGGAAUGGAUGAUGUUGGUCAUGGUGUCCAGUUACUUAUUCUUACAUUUCAACUGAUGGUGAACCAAGGUAUACAAUUUUUUAAACCAUUUUGAUUUCUGAUUUGUCAACAUUGAACUUAUGUAAUUCUUUUGUUUUCAUUAUUAUUGUCUUCUUAAGGAUCAGCUGCAAUCCUCCUCUUGCAUUUUUGUCUUUCACCAUCAUCCCCAAUAAUUUGAAAUCAUUGUUGUUUGCUGCAAGAAAUAUGGUAUAAUCUGCAUAUGUUAAAUUGUUAAUGUUUUCCUAACGAAUUUCCACUCCUUUGUCAUCUGAAUCUGAACCAACAUUUUGUAUGAUAAAGUCUGCAUAUGGAUUAAACAGUCAGGGAAAGAAAAUACACCACUCUGUGACACCACUGUCAACUGGAAACCAUUUUGUUUCUUCAUAUUGUGUAAUCUACUGCCCAGAGUAUACCGUGUUUCCCCGAAAAUAUGACAGGGUCUUAUAUUAAUUUUUGAUCCAAAAACGCAUUACGGCUUAUUUUCAGGGGAUGUUUUAUUUUUUUUUCAUGUACAACAAUCUGCAUUUAUUCAAAUACAGUCAUGUCAUCUUCUGGUUGCUGCACAAUGGUGGAAGACAAGGUUUCACUUGACUGGAGCUUAUUUUUGGGGUAGGGCUUAUAUUACAAGCAUCCUGAACAAUCAUACCAGGGCUUAUUUUCAGGUUAGUCUUACUUUUGGGGAAACAGGGUAGGUUACAUACGAGGAUAAUCAGAUGGUGUGGCACACCCACAUCUUUCAAAAUAAUCCAAAGUUUGUUUUGUUUGUUGGUUUGUUUGCUUAAUUAAUUAAUUUCCAUACCGCACCAUCUAGAGGUAUGCCAUUAGUUUUAGUGGUUUCAAAUAUAAAGUGCUAGAAUAAAACAACCAUCUGCCACUCCA